CCUACGGGGGGCAGCAGGCGCGAAAACUUUACAAUGCGAGCAAUCGUGAUAAGGAAACCCUGAGUGCCUGUCAAUGCAGGCUGUUCUGGUGUCUAACACACACCAGGAGAAAGGGCGGGGCAAGACCGGUGCCAGCCGCCGCGGUAAUACCGGCUGCUCGAGUGAUAGCCACUUUUACUGGGCUUAAAGCGUUCGUAGCUUGGUCGUUAAGUCUCUGGGGAAAUCUUUUGGCUCAACCAAAAGGCGUCUCAGGGAAACUGGCGAUCUUGGAACCGGGAGAGGUAAGACGUACUUCGGGGGUAGGAGUGAAAUCUUGUAAUCCCCGAGGGACGACCGAUGGCGAAGGCAUCUUACCAGAACGGCUUCGACAGUGAGGGACGAAAGCUGGGGGAGCAAACCGGAUUAGAUACCCCCGUAGUC
rnacentral:rRNA from 1 species